CACGUAGGGGGCAAGCGUUGUCCGGAUUCAUUGGGCGUAAAGAGCUCGUAGGCGGCUCAGUAAGUCGGGUGUGAAACCCUCAGGCUCAACCUGGGGACGCCACUCGAUACUGCUGUGGCUAGAGUCCAGUAGAGGAGUGUGGAAUUCCCGGUGUAGCGGUGAAAUGCGCAGAUAUCGGGAGGAACACCGGUGGCGAAGGCGACAUCCUGGACCGGUAUUGACGCUGAGGCGCGAAAGCCAGGGGAGCAAAGCGGG
rnacentral:rRNA from 1 species